rnacentral:piRNA from 1 species
UCUCUAUUCAGUGAUGUGAUGAUAGUCGA